rfam:Octopus bimaculoides Scaffold3284_contig_126, whole genome shotgun sequence.
GUACAAGCUUUGGCUGUACAUAUUCUAAAAUUGGAACGAUACAGAUUAACAUGGCUCCUGCGCAAUGAUAACACGCAAAUUCGUGAAGCGUUCCAUAUUAUU